GGUCUGGUGGUCUAGUGGUAUGAUUCUCGCUUAGGGUUCACCCUACGCCAAUAAGUGUCCUAACAAAGACGCUUAGAAAUGCGAGAGGUCCCGGGUUCAAUCCCCGGCCAGACCC